rnacentral:rRNA from 1 species
CUAGUAACUGCGAGUGAAGCGGGAUGAGCUCAAAUUUGAAAUCUGGCGGCNNNNNNNNUCGCCCGAGUUGUAAACUGGAGAAGCGUUUUCCGUGCCGGACCGUGUACAAGUGCCUUGGAACAGGACGUCAUAGAGGGUGAGAAUCCCGUCUUUGACACGGACCCCCGGUGCUCUGCGAUGCGCUCUCGAAGAGUCGAGUUGUUUGGGAAUGCAGCUCAAAAUGGGUGGUAAAUUCCAUCUAAAGCUAAAUAUUGGCGAGAGACCGAUAGCGAACAAGUACCGUGAGGGAAAGAUGAAAAGCACUUUGGAAAGAGAGUAAAACAGUACGUGAAAUUGUUGAAAGGGAAACGCUUGAAGUCAGUCGCGUCUGCCGGAACUCAGCCUUGCUUCUGCGAGGUGCACUUUCCGGUUUGACGGGCCAGCAUCGGUUUCGAGCGGCGGACACUGGCUUGGGGAAGGUGGCGACUCCGGUCGUGUUAUAGCCCCUUGUCGCGAACGUCGCCCGGGACCGAGGAAUCCGGCGCAAGCCUGGGAUGCUGGCGUAAUGGCUUUAAACGACCCGUCUUGAAACACGGACCAAGGAGUGCUACGUGCUCGCGAGUGUUUGGGUGGAAAACCCGGACGCGCAAUGAAAGUGAAAGUCGAUACCCUUCUGGGACACCGACGCCCGAGCCUGAUGUUUUCGGAAGGCCUUGCGGUGGAGCGAGUGCGUUGCGACCCGAAAGAUGGUGAACUAUUCCUGAGGAGGGCGAAGCCAGAGGAAACUCUGGUGGAGGCUCGUAGCGGUUCUGACGUGCAAAUCGAUCGCAGGACUUGGGUAUAGGGGCGAAAGACUAAUCGAACCAUCUAGUAGCUGGUUCCUGCCGAAGUUUCCCUCAGGAUAGCAGAAGCUCAUAUCAGAUUUAUGUGGUAAAGCGAAUGAUUAGAGGCCUUGGGGUUGAAACAACCUUAACCUAUUCUCAAACUUUAAAUAUGUAAGGACGAGCCGUCUCUUAAUUGGACCGCUCGACGAUUGAGAGCUUCUAGUGGGCCAUUUUUGGUAAGCAGAACUGGCGAUGCGGGAUGAACCGAUCGCGAGGUUAAGGUGCCGGAAUGCACGCUCAUCAGACACCACAAAAGGUGUUAGUUCAUCUAGACAGCAGGACGGUGGCCAUGGAAGUCGGAAUCCGCUAAGGAGUGUGUAACAACUCACCUGCCGAAUGAACUAGCCCUGAAAAUGGAUGGCGCUCAAGCGUGCUACCCAUACNNNNNNNNNNNNNNNUUGAAGUGACGCGCUGACGAGUAGGCAGGCGUGGGGGUCUGUGA